rnacentral:rRNA from 11 species
GCAAUUUGCCUAAAUAUUCUAAAGGCACCAGAUCUCGUCCGAUCUUGGAAACUAAUCAGGGUCAGAUAUAGUCAGUGCUUGGAUUGGGGUACAUCUAGGAAAACCUGGUGCUGUUGGCU